AGCAGUUCAGACAGCUCGUCCUCUGUCCCGCGCCGCCUGGAGUCACGCCUCAGAACCGAGGCUGCGGUUCGCCAUGGCUCCCGCACAGGGUGCAGGGGGCGAGGACGAGAGCGCCGGAGGGGCCUGGAGCCGGCUUGCCCCCUCCCCGCCGAGACAGCCGCGCCCUGCGAGGCUGCACACCGCCCUGGUGUCAUCUUGUCGCCUCCAGGCCCUUGACCAGCACUUGCCAGGGCCUCAAGUGGUGGCUGGAUCAGCCGGCGUCAGUGGAGGCUUCCUGUGGUUUUCCUGCUUUUAAACGUCUUUGUCAUCACUCUGCACUCCGCCCACUGAAACCCUUGAGGCAUGGAAGAACAUUCCAGCAGGAAAUCCGGAGUCAACCUCGUCUGAGAAGAUGUGACUCCUGCUGAUUUCAAAGCCGAGGUUGGGCACCGAGGAAGAGAUUUACCAUUUAUCAUCGGAGGACAAAAAUAUGACCUUCCUUCCUUUCUUCCUUCCUCACUUUUCUAGAAAUAAAAGGAGGAUUCAGAAAGCAA